UCCUUGUCGGGUAAGUUCCGACCUGCACGAAUGGCGUAACGAUCUCCCCGCUGUCUCCAGCAUCGGCUCAGUGAAAUUGAACUCCCCGUGAAGAUGCGGGGUUCCUGCGGUCAGACGGAAAGACCCCGUGCACCUUUACUACAGCUUCACACUGGCAUCAGGCCAUGCAUGUGCAGGAUAGGUGGUGGGCUUUGAAACCGGGACGCCAGUUCCGGUGGAGCCUCCCUUGAGAUACCACCCUUGUUCUGCUUGAUGUCUAACCGCGGCCCGUUAUCCGGGUCCGGGACCCUGCGUGGUGGGUAGUUUGACUGGGGCGGUCGCCUCCUAAAGCGUAACGGAGGCGCGCGAAGGUUGGCUCAGAGCGGUCGGAAAUCGCUCGUUGAGUGCAAUGGCAGAAGCCAGCCUGACUGCAAGACUGACAAGUCGAGCAGAGUCGAAAGACGGCCAUAGUGAUCCGGUGGUCCCGAGUGGAAGGGCCAUCGCUCAACGGAUAAAAGGUACUCCGGGGAUAACAGGCUGAUACCGCCCAAGAGUUCAUAUCGACGGCGGUGUUUGGCACCUCGAUGUCGGCUCAUCACAUCCUGGGGCUGAAGUCGGUCCCAAGGGUAUGGCUGUUCGCCAUUUAAAGUGGUACGCGAGCUGGGUUUAGAACGUCGUGAGACAGUUCGGUCCCUAUCUGGUGUGGGCGUUGGAUGAUUGAUGGGAGCUGCUCCUAGUACGAGAGGACCGGAGUGGACGAACCGCUGGUGUUCGGGUUGUGAUGCCAAUCGCAUUGCCCGGUAGCUACGUUCGGAACGGAUAACCGCUGAAAGCAUCUAAGCGGGAAGCCGGCCCAGAGAUGAGUCAUCCCUGACAGUUUAACUGUCCUGAAGGGUUGUUUUAGACUAAGACGUUGAUAGGCAGGGUGUGGAAGCGUUGUAAGGCGUUAAGCUAACCUGUACUAAUUGCCCGCGAGGCUUAAU
rnacentral:rRNA from 14 species